rnacentral:lncRNA from 1 species
GGUUUAUGCACCAUCAGCCCACCAACCCCACUGAACCUCAGGCCUCUAAGCGCCUUGGCAAGUUUCAUGGCGCAAUAGGGACCCAGGGAUAUGGCUUUGAGCUCCGGCCUGAGAUGUCACGUGCCAUCUGUGGUCCUGGGGCCCACCUUAUCCAGGACCACAGGUGGUUUUGCUCAACUUGAGUUCAUCUGUCUUUGGAAUUUCCUUCUUGAAACAGACUCUGGUCACAGCCCAUUGUACCUUCCAGCCUGUGAUGACCCAUCUUCACUGUCACCCUGACAGACUUUAGAGUCCUCAAGGAGACAAAGCUCUGGGCAUGCCUACAAAGGUGUCUCCAGAGAGGCUUAAUUAACUGAUGAGGGAAGACCCACCCUGAGUGCAGCAGGCACCAUGCUCUGGGACAGUGUCUUAGGUUGAACAGAAUGGAAACCGGAAGAAUCUGGAUGAACACCUGGGUUUCUUUGCUUCCUGACCCACAAGAAGGGAAGCAAGUUCUUGCCCCUCUCCAUGUUCCACCCCUCCAUGAUUGAGUGUGCAUCUUGAGCUGUGAGUCAAAAUAAAUCUUUCCUUCAAAUUGUUUUUUUGUCAGUUAAUUUGGUCACAACAAUGAAAAAAAAAUAACAAAUGUCCCCGAAGUGGCAUCCAGUGACCAUCUGAUGGCUCUCUGUGGGCCACAGCUGAUAAAGGAAAAGGCAAGUCUUCACCAAGACACCUCAACCUGCUUUCUAACAAGGGCUUGUCUACACUCUGACCACCUGCUUGAAUAGCAGGCAGUGGCUCAGGAGCCUUGCAGGCUCAGCCUUCCAAAACCGAGUGCCCAGCGCCUACUUCCUUUGGGUUUUCUUUAGAACAAAGGCAAUUUUCCCAAUGGCUCUCUUCCCCCAUUUGGAGUCUUGCAGCCUUUUAUAAACCAAGCAAGGCUCCCAAGCCCUGA